rnacentral:lncRNA from 1 species
AUGAACUCCGACUAUGAACAAUUUUAGAAUAACCAUACAAGUAAAGAGUUUCACAUACAAUUCACAUAAAUGCAAAAUCAAUUCAAGUAGCCUUUAAUGGAAAUUCAAGGAACACAAUAUUAAAUCAUGGAUACAAUGGAAUAUCAUCAUCUCUAUGAUUGCCUCUAGGGCAUACCUCCAACAGUCUCCCACUUGCACUAGAGUCAAUCUAGAAGAUAUCUAAUACCCAUAGCUCUUAUGUGCGCAUCAUGCUUAGACUGCGGGAGAUACUUUGUCAACGGAUCAGAAAUAUUUAAAUCUGUGUGUAUUUUGCAUAUCUUGAUCUCGUCUCGGUUAACAAAGUCUCGAGUGAGAUGAA